GACGAACGCUGGCGGCGUGCUUAACACAUGCAAGUCGAACGGAAAGGCCCAGCUUGCUGGGUGCUCGAGUGGCGAACGGGUGAGUAACACGUGGGUGAUCUGCCCCUAACUUCGGGAUAAGCUUGGGAAACUGGGUCUAAUACCGGAUAGGACAAUCGUUUAGUGUCGGUUGUGGAAAGUUUUUUCGGUUAGGGAUGAGCCCGCGGCCUAUCAGCUUGUUGGUGGGGUAAUGGCCUACCAAGGCGUCGACGGGUAGCCGGCCUGAGAGGGCGGACGGCCACAUUGGGACUGAGAUACGGCCCAGACUCCUACGGGAGGCAGCAGUGGGGAAUAUUGCACAAUGGGCGCAAGCCUGAUGCAGCGACGCCGCGUGGGGGAUGACGGCCUUCGGGUUGUAAACCUCUUUCGACAGGGACGAAGCUUUGGUGACGGUACCUGUAUAAGAAGCACCGGCUAACUACGUG
rnacentral:rRNA from 1 species